rnacentral:lncRNA from 1 species
CCCAUUCCCGGCAUCUUCCCUAUGGAAACACCACAGCUGGAGGCAAAACCGGGGUGGCUGCGUGGGGAAAAGCUGCUGCCAUUCCCAGUGUCUUCCUUCGCCGUUCCCGGCGUCUUCCCUACGGAAGCGCCAUGGCCGGAGGCAAAGCCAGGCCAGCUCUCUGUGGGGAAAAGCCGUCGCUUUUCCUGGCGUCUUCCUUCGCCGUUCCCGGCGUUUUCCCUAUGGAAGCGCCGUGGCCGGAGGCAAAAUCGAGGCAGCCACGUGUAGGGAAAAAACAUCGCCGUUCCCGGCGUUGUCCUUUGCCGUUCCUGGUGUCUUCCCUACGGAAAGGCCGUGGCCAGAGGCGAAACGGGUGGCUGCGUGUGGGGGAAAAGCUGUCCCCGUUCCCGGCAUCUUCCUUCCCCGUUCCCGGCAUCUUCCUUCCCCGUUCCCGGCAUCUUCCCCACCGCGGGACGGGUCCGAUUCGCCCCUUCCCUCCCCGUCGCCCUCCGUUCGCUCCCCGGGUGCCGAAUCCCCGGGAUUCGGGCCGCGGCGGCUCUUCCCGCUCCUCUCCCGCCGGCACGGGAUCGUUUCACGCUCCGGCGCGGGGUUUCGCGGCGCCGGGGCGGCCGCGGAGCUGCUCUUUGCCUCCCGCCGCCUCCGUUAAUCCCGGCGCCUCCGUGAUCCCGGCGCAGACCUGUCGCGGAACCGCUUCUCCGAGGUGCCGGAGGAGGCGUGCCGGCUGCCGGCGCUGGAAGCCCUCAGCCUGCGCCACAACUGCCUGCGCAGCGUCCCGCCGGCCAUCGCCCGCCUGCAGGCCCUCACCUACCUCGACCUCAGGUAGGCCCGGCCCUCCCUUCCCGGCCUUCCCGGCCUUCCCGGCGAUGCCGGUGACCCCGGAGCCGCCGCCGUGUCGCCUCCGCAGCCGCAACCAGCUGGCCGCGCUGCCCGCCUGCCUCUGCCGCCUGCCGCUGCGCGUGCUCGUCGCCAGCAACAACCGCCUGCCGCGGCUGCCCGACGCCCUCGGCGCCCUCGGCGGGCUGCGGCUGCUGGACGUGAGCUGCAACG